GAUUUGCACACAACGGCUUUUCGUUGCCGUAGAUGAAGGAGGUGGAAUCCGUCGAAGAUAUUGCCUUCUUCUCCAGGAGUGUGCAGAGGAUACUAUUACUACCUCAAGUCUAAGUAGCAGAUCUUAGAGCCCAGUUCUCUACACCGCUCACAACCACUCCCGUGCAUGGACGCAACAAAUGUGCGCGCACUGACAUUCGGGAAGCAUUUGAAGUGGUAUAAUAGUAGUAUUGCUUGAGCAUUGAAGCCUGGGAACGACGCGGACAUAUUCAGCAAACGGCGACCACUGGAAUCGGUAGACUACCUACGGUGACGUUGCGUAUAAUCGCUUCAUCCGAGCUCACGGCGAACGUGUCCUUGCGACAGACUAGGGUUGGAAAAUGUAUUCUAUGUUCGUGCUGCACACGACGGUGCUUGGCUGUACCGUAGCCUGUUUCACUGGCCUCUUCUAUCUCAGACCCUGGGUGCUGCAGCAGGCAAUGGGUGGAAAGAUAAAGCGCCGUAUUUUGUGGGAGGAAGAAGCACCGUGGGUGCGGGAGGACGUGCGUCGGGACUGGAAAGUUGCCGGUGGGAAAUAUUACCGCCAAAAGUUCUUUGACGAGGAGGGCUGAAUCCUUGCUAUCUUAUUACUUCCAGAUUGAGUGCAUUCACCCUAGUGCUAACCACACAUUGUGGGCUAGCCUGUCCCCAGUUCAAGUUGUUCUAGAAGCCGCCAUCUCUGGUCAGAUGCUGCACGGAGUCUUUUGAAUAGGCGCCGCCGUGCGCGCUGCUGUAUGCUGAGAGGCUUUGGUUAUGAAGCAUUGCUGUAGGUUUCGUUAGCUGUGCUUUUUUCUUUGUGUACUGACACCAAUGUGCAUACUAUUAUCUGUAUUAAGGCUAACCGUGUUACGCUUGUAGAACCUAUCCAUAAUCUAGCCCCAUUGUAAAUAACACCAACAAUGCAUUGCCUCCACAUGA